rnacentral:tRNA from 1 species
GCCGGUGUACUCUUAACUGGUAAAGCGGCAUAAACCCUCAGGGGUCAUAUGUUUAUGCGGGUUCGCCCCCCGUCACCGGCU